rnacentral:rRNA from 1 species
GACGAGGCACUACGGUGCUGAAGCAACAAAUGCCCUGCUUCCAGGAAAAGCCUCUAAGCAUCAGGUAACAUCAAAUCGUACCCCAAACCGACACAGGUGGUCAGGUAGAGAAUACCAAGGCGCUUGAGAGAACUCGGGUGAAGGAACUAGGCAAAAUGGUGCCGUAACUUCGGGAGAAGGCACGCUGACACGUAGGUGAAGUGAUUUACUCAUGGAGCUGAAGUCAGUCGAAGAUACCAGCUGGCUGCAACUGUUUAUUAAAAACACAGCACUGUGCAAACACGAAAGUGGACGUAUACGGUGUGACGCCUGCCCGGUGCCGGAAGGUUAAUUGAUGGGGUCAGCGCAAGCGAAGCUCCUGAUCGAAGCCCCGGUAAACGGCGGCCGUAACUAUAACGGUCCUAAGGUAGCGAAAUUCCUUGUCGGGUAAGUUCCGACCUGCACGAAUGGCGUAAUGAUGGCCAGGCUGUCUCCACCCGAGACUCAGUGAAAUUGAACUCGCUGUGAAGAUGCAGUGUACCCGCGGCAAGACGGAAAGACCCCGUGAACCUUUACUAUAGCUUGACACUGAACAUUGAGCCUUGAUGUGUAGGAUAGGUGGGAGGCUUUGAAGUGUGGACGCCAGUCUGCAUGGAGCCGACCUUGAAAUACCACCCUUUAAUGUUUGAUGUUCUAACGUGGACCCGUUACCCGGGUUGCGGACAGUGUCUGGUGGGUAGUUUGACUGGGGCGGUCUCCUCCUAAAGAGUAACGGAGGAGCACGAAGGUUGGCUAAUCCUGGUCGGACAUCAGGAGGUUAGUGCAAUGGCAUAAGCCAGCUUGACUGCGAGCGUGACGGCGCGAGCAGGUGCGAAAGCAGGUCAUAGUGAUCCGGUGGUUCUGAAUGGAAGGGCCAUCGCUCAACGGAUAAAAGGUACUCCGGGGAUAACAGGCUGAUACCGCCCAAGAGUUCAUAUCGACGGCGGUGUUUGGCACCUCGAUGUCGGCUCAUCACAUCCUGGGGCUGAAGUAGGUCCCAAGGGUAUGGCUGUUCGCCAUUUAAAGUGGUACGCGAGCUGGGUUUAGAACGUCGUGAGACAGUUCGGUCCCUAUCUGCCGUGGGCGCUGGAGAACUGAGGGGGGCUGCUCCUAGUACGAGAGGACCGGAGUGGACGCAUCACUGGUGUUCGGGUUGUCAUGCCAAUGGCACUGCCCGGUAGCUAAAUGCGGAAGAGAUAAGUGCUGAAAGCAUCUAAGCACGAAACUUGCCCCGAGAUGAGUUCUCCCUGAGACUUAGAGUCUCCUGAAGGAACGUUGAAGACGACGACGUUGAUAGGCCGGGUGUGUAAGCGCAGCGAUGCGUUGAGCUAACCGGUACUAAUGAACCGUGAGGCUUAACCUUAC